ACGAACGCUGGCGGCGUGCUUAACACCUGCAAGUCGAACGAAGAGCGAUGGAAGCUUGCUUCUAUCAAUCUUAGUGGCGAACGGGUGAGUAACGCGUAAUCAACCUGCCCUUCAGAGGGGGACAACAGUUGGAAACGACUGCUAAUACCGCAUACGAUCUAAUCUCGGCAUCGAGGAUAGAUGAAAGGUGGCCUCUACAUGUAAGCUAUCACUGAAGGCGGGGAUUGCGUCUGAUUAGCUAGUUGGAGGGGUAACGGCCCACCAAGGCGAUGAUCAGUAGCCGGUCUGAGAGGAUGAACGGCCACAUUGGGACUGAGACACGGCCCAGACUCCUACGGGAGGCAGCAGUGGGGAAUCUUCCGCAAUGGACGAAAGUCUGACGGAGCAACGCCGCGUGAGUGAUGACGGCCUUCGGGUUGUAAAGCUCUGUUAAUCGGGACGAAAGGCCUUCUUGCGAAUAGUGAGAAGGAUUGACGGUACCGGAAUAGAAAGCCACGGCUAACUACGUG
rnacentral:rRNA from 1 species